GACGAACGCUGGCGGCGUGCUUACACAUGCAAGUCGAACGGAAAGGCCCUGCUUUUGUGGGGUGCUCGAGUGGCGAACGGGUGAGUAACACGUGAGUAACCUGCCCUUGACUUUGGGAUAACUUCAGGAAACUGGGGCUAAUACCGGAUAGGAGCUCCUGCUGCAUGGUGGGGGUUGGAAAGUUUCGGCGGUUGGGGAUGGACUCGCGGCUUAUCAGCUUGUUGGUGGGGUAGUGGCUUACCAAGGCUUUGACGGGUAGCCGGCCUGAGAGGGUGACCGGCCACAUUGGGACUGAGAUACGGCCCAGACUCCUACGGGAGGCAGCAGUGGGGAAUAUUGCACAAUGGGCGGAAGCCUGAUGCAGCAACGCCGCGUGCGGGAUGACGGCCUUCGGGUUGUAAACUGCUUUCGCCUGUGACGAAGCGUGAGUGACGGUAAUGGGUAAAGAAGCACCGGCUAACUGCGUGCCAGCAGCCGCGGUGAUACGUAGGGUGCGAGCGUUGUCCGGAUUUAUUGGGCGUAAAGGGCUCGUAGGUGGUUGAUCGCGUCGGAGGUGUAAUCUUGGGGCUUAACCCUGAGCGUGCUUUCGAUACGGGUUGACUUGAGGAAGGUAGGGGAGAAUGGAAUUCCUGGUGGAGCGGUGGAAUGCGCAGAUAUCAGGAGGAACACCAGUGGCGAAGGCGGUUCUCUGGGCCUUUCCUGACGCUGAGGAGCGAAAGCGUGGGGAGCGAACAGGCUUAGAUACCCUGGUAGUCCACGCUGUAAACGGUGGGUACUAGGUGUGGGGUCCAUUCCACGGGUUCCGUGCCGUAGCUAACGCUUUAAGUACCCCGCCUGGGGAGUACGGCCGCAAGGCUAAAACUCAAAGGAAUUGACGGGGCCCCGCACAAGCGGCGGAGCAUGCGGAUUAAUUCGAUGCAACGCGUAGAACCUUACCUGGGUUUGACAUGGAUCGGGAGUGCUCAGAGAUGGGUGUGCCUCUUUUGGGGUCGGUUCACAGGUGGUGCAUGCCUGUCGUCAGCUCGUGUCGUGAGAUGUUGGGUUAAGUCCCGCAACGAGCGCAACCCUUGUUCACUGUUGCCAGCACGUUAUGGUGGGGACUCAGUGGAGACCGCCGGGGUCAACUCGGAGGAAGGUGGGGAUGACGUCAAGUCCUCAUGCCCCUUAUGUCCAGGGCUUCACGCAUGCUACAAUGGCUGGUACAGAGAGUGGCGAGCCUGUGAGGGUGAGCGAAUCUCGGAAAGCCGGUCUCAGUUCGGAUUGGGGUCUGCAACUCGACCUCAUGAAGUCGGAGUCGCUAGUAAUCGCAGAUCAGCAACGCUGCGGUGAAUACGUUCCCGGG
rnacentral:rRNA from 1 species